UACUGGGUAUGCAGUCAGGUCACUGCUGCUCUUCAGGCUUCAGCCUUCGCAGCUCCAGCAAACCAAACAGCCAUUUGAAGUGUACCAAAGCUCACAGUCUGUGCCUCAUAGCACACGUCAUCAAGUAGGCGCAAAGUAGUGGUGUUGCGGUGCUAUUCCCUUGGAAGAAAAUCAACAAACACAGAACAUGGAUCUGGAUUUUCUUCCCCACGCUCUAAUUCCCUCAUGGACCUCAGUCGCUAUCUUAGCUUCAUUCUUUACGUAGUUGGCCAUCGUUGGAUCUUUAGUAAUUACUACCUGGAAAAGCUGUUCCCGGUGUAUUUUACAGAACGGCGCCCGCCCGUGGUCACUAUUGUUGCAAUGGUCUGUGCUUACAUACAUAUGCGUUUCCAUCAGUGUAUCUAAUUUUUCUUGUGUCGAGAUUCUGAGGUUCAGCGUGCCUGUUUAUGAGUUUUUUGACUAUUCUUUUCUUCCCCGAUCAAGGUUUGCUUUUGCUUAUUGAUAUGGUUGGACUUCUUGCGAUUGGUGCAAAAAUGAAUUACAUGUCACCCACUGUAUGUGUUCACCGCUUUCAAUUAAUUAUUCAUUUUUUUUUUCACCAAGUAUCGCUUCCAAUUUAUUCACAUCUGUCUUAGGACUAGAAGCAUUUGACUAAGCUCUAGCUUCCCAUGACAGGAAGAGAAUAUGUGGUUUUGUACCAGAAAUAGCUGUAGAGUUCUAAAUCAAAUUAAAGUAUUGCAUAAAAAAAGAAAAGAAAAGAAAAUGCUCUCCACUGAAUCACUGGUGUGGUCCUGUACUGAUUUGUGAAUUCGUAGACGCCCAAAACCCUGCUGGAAAAUCGUACUGCAUUAUAUGCAUAUUGGGCGUAUCCCACUUUCAAAUAACAACUAGGUUGUCAAGCAGUCACCUACAUUUUGUUUGCCAUAAACUUCUAUGGAUAUGUCGGUUGCUCGGAUGUACUUGGACCAAUUCAUAAGAAACCGCUACUCAUGAGUCAUAGCGUGCAGUUUUGAAGGCUUUGCAGGAAUUUUUUUUUGUUUGGUUUUCUUCUUCCCGAAGUUAAACAUAAAUUGAGAUUACACUGCUGCAAGUUUUAACUUACUGUGCAUGUGGAUAUAAACAUGAUAACAAUGUUUGCCGGAGAUAUCAUGCAGAGGGCUUGAGUUGCUAUCUGCAACUUUUGUGCUCAGUUUUCUUGCAAGUUAAAAUUGAUAAUUAUUAUUUUUCUCCUAUUUGGUGGCUGAAAUUUUAUGAAACUUACUCAUUGCAGCUCAGAGGGUUCAGCUGUGAUAAACUUAUAUUAAAGUUGUUGAAUAGUACUUCUUCAAUCUUCAACUGUCUAUUUGUUCACACAUGGAAGAGUCUUCAUAGUUCAUAUAUAUGGCCAUGGGAUCCUCAAAUCUGUACAGACUAUUGACUUUAGUUAUAUUCACCUCACCAGGUCAAAGAUAUACCUGUUAUUUGAUAUCAAGAGACACCAAUGGGGGAAAUCCCUUUGCCCCUUGAAUCUACAUGUUGAUUGAAAAAAUAGCAGAUAAUGACAAAUAUAGUUUUAGCCAUUCAUUGAAGGUUACCAGCACUCAUAAGUUCUGUUGUGGUCGUACAUAGUAAGUCAGAAACUCACCAGAUGACCAGAUGAUUUGGAUCUUGAAGAAUUGGGGUCCCGGGAGAGAAGGGGGGGGGGCGGGGGUGGGGGGAGGUUGUUGGAGGAGGGGUUUGGUCUUUAUCUCGUCAAUGCAAGUCCAUCCCUUUAUUGUCAUUGCCAUUCAUGAUGUUUAUUUGAUUACAUUGAUGAAAAAGUACCGAAAACUCUUGCUCCUCAUCUCUAGCCAUUUAAAUUAUUUUGCCUCUUAAUCUUUUAACGUUUGAGCUUUUUAAUCUUUGUUUUAUCUGAUCAGUUCAUGCAUUUGCUUACUUUGUUUUUAUAUUUUAAGUUUUGAUGUUAGGUGACCUUGGUGCUCUAUACUGCUGGUUGCGAGUAAAGCAGUCUGGGUUCUUUCCCUGAAACCUCAUCUCACGGGACCCUAAUACGUGACUGGUACUUUUGAAAUCACUUAUCUUUUUUAUAGAUAAAUCAAUGUAGGUCUGGGGAGCUGUAUAUAACAAGGAAAUAGACUCUGGGUUGGUAAUGUCCAUAAGUAUUUUCUGGCCCAUCGUCGUAGCUCUCUUACAUGCAGUGAGUAAAAGUUCCAGCAAUUUUCCUCAGUAACAAAAGCUUUAUGUUAGGAAAAAUGGGAACAAUUAACUUUAUGGAGGCAUGCUAAACUUACAAAGUACGCUCUUAUCCUCUCCUCAGAUGUAAUGGUUAAAAAUCUAUUAACUCUCUGGUUGCAGCGCCCAAGAAGAAUCACAUCCUGAUAUGCUUUGAUCCAAAUUUGAAUUGUUGAAUCCUGCUUUAGCUAUCGUAGUUAAUUAUUUCAGAAAAAGAAAUAUUGUACAUGUGAGAUUGAGGGGUAGGGUUGGUUUGCCCAUUUUCCAUAGGGUGGAUUCUUAUAUAAUUUUUCAAUUAUAUUAAGCUAAUGAAUACACAAGUGAUCUUCCACCAGCCUCUUGGAUGGCUUAAUAAAGAGAUAAGAGUAUAUAAUUUUGUCUUAAUUGCAUCAUCUUAGCAACCAUUGAGACACAACCCAAAAAGAAAAAAAAAAAAGAAAUUUACCUAUUUUUUCAAUGAUGAAGGGUUAAGCAUUGAUGUUGUUUGCUUCACUCCUUGGAGAAACGUUUUGAGUAAUUAUCUUAUAUUGCUAUCCUUUAUGUCAUUGAAUAGGUGGUUUGGAAUUCAGUUGAAUCCUUGGUUUAUGGGCAUUGACCUCAAGUAUGUGAUUUGGUUAUCAUUUUUUCUGGGGAUAUUCUUCAAUGGUCAACAAAUGAGAUUUUUACUGUAUACAUAUGAAUUUGACUUUUGUAAUACUUUUUAUUCUCCGCAUAUUAUGGCUCUCUUUCUUGCCUGUGCACUUGAGAAUUGGGCUUUUUUUUAUUUCUUGCCAGUAUGUUAGUUCAUUAUUUGUAAUCAGUUAAUAACAACAUUUCGACUCAAGCCCCUUGUCAACAUCAUGAGUACAAUGGCUUAAUUUCUGUUAUUAUAAUCACUGGUGACCAUAACAUUAUAUGAGUACUGAAGGAUUUCAUGACAUUAUUUAAUCAACAUCGUUGUAAUGUACAUAGUCUUUUUUGUUUUUGUUUUUGUUUUCACACAAUCUGAUUCUCCUGUAGAUUUUUCUUUGUUAGAGCUUGAAUGAUGGGCUGGCUACUUAUCAACCUAUCAAUUCUAGCAAGAAGCUCUAGCCAAGUUCAGUACCUUAAAAAAAAAGCACCUUAAAAAAAAAGGUGCAGUACCAUGUUGCCCUUGGCCCAGGUUAUGUAGCUCUAGCCAAGUUCAGGAUCGCCUGAAAUUCACCUAACAAGCCAGAGUUUACGACAGCUGCUGUAAUAGCCAAUUUCCUUAUAACCAGGCAGGUAUAUGGUAUUUAGAGGAGCUAAUAAACAAAAACAUGUAUUUAAGAAGAAUUCCAAAGCACUUAUAUGAGGUAAGCCUCCAAAGGUCAUUGGGGGAAAGUUCCUUGCUUCCGGUUACUGGUAAGACUGCUGUAUGAUUAAAUUGCUUACCGUGGUAUUGUUCUUUUCUCCUCAUCGUCAACUUUUUUACACCAUUCAUUUCAAUUAUUAUCAAUAAAAAUUAAGGAGAAACUACUAUCUAUCAUAGCUGGUGCAGGACCCAUUAUUGGAGUCAGCACUGUCUCUUACGUGUGGUAUUGUUUCUAGCUAGAAUAUAGUGGACUAUCUCUAAAGCUUAGUCCUUUUUCAUUGUUCCACCCCUCAAGGGACAGGAGAGGAGGUAAAUAGAAAGAGUAUAUUGCAUCACAUCACAUCACAUUUAAUACUAGAGUAUAGUAUAUUCCCUUAAAGGGGACAAGAUCAAAUUUGUGUGUAAUACUGAUACGUUCAUGUUUAGUCUAUUAAACAUAGUGUAGAAAUCUCCAUCUCCUUAAUGGCUUUAUGGAGAUUAGUCCUGAUGCUUUAUGUCUUAAAACUUCCUGACAUUGCGAUUGUUCUGUUGAAGGGGAGUAGGAAGGCACUGUAAUUACCUAGGGGAUGUGCUGCUUGCUCUUCCUUCAGUUUACUCUGUUGGAAAAGCUCCCCAAUUCCGUACUUUUAUCCCGUCUAUCUUCUUAUUCUGAUAAUUUGGAGAGAAAUGAGGGAUGAAGAAGUCUGGGCAGAAUACCAUAUAGACUUGUUCCAUGGAGAAUAUUACCUUACUUCUAUUAGCACCUGUACUUUUUGAUCUAUCAAAUAUUGCCGGGUGCAGCAGAUAGAGAGUUCCGUGCAUUAUGUUCUUUAUUGUUAUGUUGUUUUUAUCCAUACUUGUAGUUUUCCUCUUGUUUUCUUUUUCCGGCCUUUGAAAGUGGGACUACUAAAUGAGAGAGCUUCUUGUGAGUUUAUUAUAUACGACACAUUUGACUAAAUUAGAUCAAGAUAUUAAUGGAUGUGUAGGUUAUAAAAGGAGUGAAACUUUUUUUCCUUCUUCAAACCCCUCUUCCGUGGAGGUGUAGAUUGAAUUCGUUAUUGAAUCCUUCGUUAACUUUCAUGCUAAUUCCGUCCUGACAAAGCUAACAUGAACCAAGCUAAGCUAGCUGGCAAAGCUUGGAUCUAAUCCCACUUGGG